AGUGAGACCUUUGGGUGGUGAUGAUGUUGUGAGGGCAAAGCACUCAUGAAUGAGAUUAGUGACCUCAUAAAAGCAGCCCCAGAGAGCUGCCUUGCCUUUCCUGCCAGGUGAGUACACAGUGAGAAGAUGGCCAACUAUAAGCCAGGAAACAGGCCUCCAUCAACAAGGAAUCUGCCGGCAACUUGAUCUUGGACUUCCCAGCCUCCAGGAUUCUUUCACUGAACACAGUUGAGAAUUCAGAAUUUUUCAUUUUCUGCCCACAAUGGCAAAGAGAAGUGACAAAUGGAGACACAGCACAGUUACGUCAGAAGAUGAAUGCAAAGAGACAGAUGACAGCACUCUAGCAUCAGAUUCUGAUGAAAGGAGAAGAAGACAGAAGAAAGAAGAAGAAGAAACUGAUCAUACAGGCUGAAUGUCCCUAAUACAGAAAUCUGAAGUGCUCCCAAAUCUGAAACUUUUUGAGUGCCAAUAAGAUGCCAGAAGCAGGCAAUGGACAUUGUUAACACUGCAGAAGAAGUGCUUAUUGAUGACUGGUGAAAAUGGCUGAUGGGCUUACUGAAGGCCUAGAGUAGUGUGCAUUCUUAACAGAAGAAGGUAUCAAUCAUAUCAAUUUUUAAAAUCAAAGAGAGAUGUCUAAGAUCAAAACCAGUGUUAACGACGCAGAUGACUCUAGAGGAAACAUUUUUAGAAGCCAACCAGCAGAAAGCCUCCUCAUAACUAGAGGACCCACUUCCUGGUCCCUCAACUGCUUCUGAUGUUUCUUCUCUCCUAAAAAAGCUCAGUGUGCACUAACCUUUUAAUCAAAACACAACAUCAUCAGUGUACGGAUGGGUGAAUUUUUAAACAAAAACACAGCAUUAUAGGUGGAGACUAAAAACCUGCCAUUGUUCAUUGGGGCUGUUGUUUAACAGAUGGUACAGGAAGAAAAAUAUGUUGCAAACAUGGAGGAAAGAUGAUGGCCUCCUUCAACAGAACUAUGAGUUGUCCAAGAUUUCACAAAGUUCUUCAAGCAUGGCAUUUGAUGAUGAGCCCUAAGAUGACUUGAGCCUCACGUCAACUCUCUUUGCUACACGCCCCUCUUUGGAGACCACCACUUCAUGCAAUGGGGAGUGACAUUAGGGCUGAACUUUAAGAAAGAGAACUCUGACAGUAAUGAGAAGACAGAAAAAGAGAAUGACCAGAUAUCCAAAAUGGGAUCGUAGCAUCGAACAUGAGAAGGCCAUGCAUAAGAUGGGGUAGGUCCAAUCAACAAAAUUUGAAAAAAGGUCAGCUUUGGAGUGGUCUGAAAAGGGAGACAAAGGAGGAGACAGAAUUCUGGAUGAUUUCACGGUAACAAUCCUGAGUGACUUGGAGGAUAUAAUAGUAUUAACUAAAAAGGAAAAUGCACAAGACAGCAAUUUGAGGGAAGGACAUUUAGAUGAAGAGAUCCUUGAGAAAUACAUGCAUUUAAAAGACAAGUGGGAGAGAAACUAAUGAAGGAGCUGAAAAUGGCCAAUGACACUGGAAAAGAACGACGACAGUAAAGUGUCCUAGUAGCCAAGGGAAGAGAGAAAGCACUUUUUAAAGGAUGAGAUGAUCACUUGUGUCAACUUCUGUCAAUAAUUAAAGGAGACAAGGGACAAGAUGACAUCCGUGGAUAUGGCAAAUAGCCAAUAAUAAUGAAAGCUAGCAUCACAUCUGCUGCAUGCUUGUCACAUGCCAGGCACACCACUUCAAGAGUUGUACAAUUUACAAUGUGGACGUGGAGGAAGAAAACUAAAGAAGGGCAACAGAGAGAGCCUUGCACCAAGACCACAACCACUCCAGGGGGUGGGAUUAUAUCCAUUCCACACAGGAGGAAUCGGAAGCUUUGAGAGCUGACGUAAAACUGGUAAACGGUGAAACCAGGAUUCAAACCCAAUUCUACCUGGCUGCCAAAACCACACAUUGCUUUCCCCAGUUCACAGGCUAUCACAGCAUCAGCAGCAAUCAAGGUAGAAAACCUAAUCGAAUAUCACAAAAAUAGGAACCCAUCUGUGAUGAGAAAACUUACAGAUCUCGGACUGCAAACUGAAAAUGCCUACAGGGCCAAGGCAAGUAAUAUAAAAUGAAGGGAAUUCAACGGGACUGGGAACAGGAGACCAUGUGUAUGUAUCAUCUACGGAGGCAGCUGCUGCUUCACUUCAUGCAGGAAUGUGGGCCUGGUGUUGCCAGAUUUUGUGCUUCUUUUCAAGAGACACUGGAAAUAAUCUUAUUAUUUCAUACUGACAAUUAAUUUUUAAAAAUUAAACACACCACUGAUCAAACAAUAUAAAUCUGUAGACCACUAGUAUCCAUCCCUUAGAACUGCCAGUUUUCAACCUCCAGUAUUCUGGGGGCACUACUAUCAUUUCUAAUAGAAACAGAAAUACAAAGACAAGUAUGGAACCCAAGGGGCAAAGAGACACAGGUCUGAGAACAGCCGGAAGAUUAUAAAAACUAGAUGAAUCAUAUCCAUUUAAGCCAAGAUGAAAUUAGUCACUAACUAUAUAUUUCAUUCCCAGGGUUUUAGUUUUCUAUUUCCCAAAGAAAGAGCAAGGCUGCAAAAGAGAAGAUUGGGUUGGGGGAGGGGAGGAACAAUAUAGCUAAUGAUGAAAUGAUACAUAAAUGGUAAGAUGAUUUUAAUGCUCAGGCAAAACCCGCUCUUAACUGAGUCAGUCAACCACCAGUUACAGAAACUUGAAGAUAUCACUAAUUCUGAACAAGAUUAAUUUGGGUGGGUAGAAUUAGUCAUUUCGUUAUUAGUCCUUAAUUUUAGCCAUCAAAGCAUAGCCAAGGGAAAGUAAGCAUAUCAGUGUGGUUACAUUUCAAGCAAGAUCUUGAAAUUAAGACAAAUAUUUAGUAUGUUCAAGAGAUUUUGACAAAUAUUACUUAAGCCAAAGACACAAAUGAGAACAUACUCAAUAUAGCUAACUCUUCCCAUCUCUCUAUGCAUCCUCUGUCUGUUGCAUUUCCAAAGAAAUAUCUUUGUGAAUAAAUUCAGAAACAUUUUAGCUGCAAACACAACAGAAUCUCCAAAAGUACACACUGACCUAAGGCUGAAAAGAGUUUUCAUUUAA
rnacentral:lncRNA from 1 species